AUGGCAUUUAACAAUAUAAAUCUCCAUUUUCAAUGCUUGCAUAAAUCUAAUGAUUUUUUUCUCUUGAGCAAAGAGUCUUUAAUGCCUUCCUGGUGUGUUUUGCAGAGCACUGGAUCAACAUCACACAUGGAAUAUAUUUGUAAAGAGACAGGCAGGAUUAUGUCAUACCCAGAAGGGAUAAUAAUCAGAGUGGAGAAGUGAGUACC
rnacentral:lncRNA from 1 species